rnacentral:snoRNA from 1 species
GUCCACGUAACUUUAGGACCGGCCGCCUGUGGCAGUCUCCCUUCCUAGCCAUGGAAGCGUAUAUGCUUGUUUAUUGGCAAAGCUGUCACCAAUAAACACAUUUAAUUGGUAUCAGAUUCUGACUGGCACAAGGAACAGUC